GGUGCGGUACCGAAAUGGUUAUAACGGCAAUCCCUGCUAAGGAUUUGUGCCUUGUAAAAGAGGUCUGGAGGUUCGAACCCUCUCCGCAUCG
rnacentral:tRNA from 1 species